rfam:Myotis lucifugus cont2.1248, whole genome shotgun sequence.
GGCCAGGUGGCUUAGUUGGUUGGAGCGUUGUCUCACACACAAAAAGGUUUCAGGUUUGAUUCCUGGUCAGGACA